UACGUAGGGUGCAAGCGUUGUCCGGAAUUAUUGGGCGUAAAGAGCUCGUAGGCGGUCUGUCGCGUCGGCUGUGAAAUCCCGGAGCUCAACUCCGGGCCUGCAGUCGAUACGGGCAGACUGGAGUUCGGCAGGGGAGACUGGAAUUCCUGGUGUAGCGGUGAAAUGCGCAGAUAUCAGGAGGAACACCGAUGGCGAAGGCAGGUCUCUGGGCCACUACUGACGCUGAGAAGCGAAAGCGUGGGGAGCGAACAGG
rnacentral:rRNA from 1 species